CUUUUUGAAAACGUUACAGCUGAAAACGCGCUCAAACACGUUACCGUGUGCACAUAAUCUCAUUCUUUACUGCAUGAUAAUAUUCUUAAUUCUUUCAAAUUUCAGGUAAGGAUGAAAUUGAUGAUGGUGCCGAAAAAUAUCUUGUAAUUGGAAUUAUAGUGUUAGCAAUUUUACUGGUCAUAUCAUUCGUGAUUAUUGCUUAUUUCAUUUAUCAAAAUCGUCGACUGAAAUCAUCAAAGGCAAACCCGGAAAACACUAAGAACGAGGACAGAAAUAACUCAGAAGAAAUUGAUGAAAAUCCUGACAAUGAUGAUGCGAAUUAUGAAAACGUCGAAAAUGAAGAGUCGACGUAUACAGCUCUCAAAAGACCUGGCCCUGGGGAGGAAGAAAAUGAUGAUCAUUUAUAUGCCCAUCUAAAUGAAGUACACACGGACUACGUGAAUCAGAACGAAACUGGAUUUUAAGGGGGCUCUUGUACGAAGCCCGUUUGGUUUAUCUUGUGAAAAGCUCAAUAUAGAAAAUCCAUUGUGUUAGCUAGAGUUUUUAAGCCAGGGGCGAGGAAGCAUAAAAAAGUUGGGGGGGGGGACACCGGUUUCGAGGG
rnacentral:lncRNA from 1 species